rnacentral:rRNA from 1 species
GGAUUAGAUACCCUGGUAGUCCACGCCCUAAACGAUGAGAACUAGACGUUGGGGGGGUCUGUCCCUUGGUGUCGCAGCUAACGCGUUAAGUUCUCCGCCUGGGGAGUACGGCCGCAAGGUUAAAACUCAAAGGAAUUGACGGGGGCCCGCACAAGCGGUGGAGCAUGUGGAUUAAUUCGAUGCAACGCGAAGAACCUUACCAGCCCUUGACAUCCUCGGAACCCCGCAGAGACGCGGGGGUGCCUUCGGGAACCGAGUGACAGGUGCUGCAUGGCUGUCGUCAGCUCGUGCCG